CACGACUUUUGGAAACUAAUCUACCAUACAUGCGCAAGCGUCACUUCGAAGAACUGGGAACUAGGACUACAAAGUCAGUGCCAUCUAUUCGACAACCUCCCAAGUUGGAACUCAAACAAUUGUCACCACACUUUCGAUAUGCUUACUUGGGGGAGUCUUUUACACUCCCAAUUAUUAUUUCAAAUACUGUCAGUGAAUUGGAGGAAGAGAGACUACUUCGGGUGCUGAGGAAGAAUAAAACAGUCAUUGGAUGGUCAAUUGCAGAUAUCAAGGGGAUCAGUCCGUCGCUAUGCAUGCACAAAAUACUCAUGGAGGAAAAUUUCAAGCCAAACAUUAAUGGUCAACGAAGAUUGAAUCCAAACAUGAAGGAAGUGGUUCGGGCUGAGGUAUUAAAGUUGCUCGAUGCAGGCAUCAUCUACCCAAUAUCAAAUAGUGCAUGGAUCAGUCCAGUGCAGGUUGUUCCAAAGAAGGGAGGUAUCACAGUGAUGCAAAACAAGAAAAAUGAGUUGAUUCCUACAAGAACAGUGACUGGAUGGAGAGUUUGCAUCAAUGACCGCAAACUAAACGCUUCUACUCGAAAGGAUUAUUUUCCACUACCGUUCAUUGAUCAGAUGUUGGAGAGACUAGCAUGGCACUCACAUUACUGUUUUCUGGAUGGGUACUCCGGGUAUAAUCAGAUUCCAGUAGCACCUAACGACCAGCAGAAGACAACUUUCACAUGCCCCUACGGUACCUUUGCAUACUGUAGGAUGCCCUUUGGUUUGUGCAAUGCCCCUGCCACCUUUCAGUGCUGCAUGAUGGCCAUCUUUUCUGAUAUGAUUGAGAAAUUCAUCGAGGUAUUCAUGGACGACUUCUCAGUGUUUAGGUCUUGGUUUAAUGAGUGUUUGGAGCAUCUGAGUUUUGUGUUACAGCGGUGUACAGAGACUAACUUGGUAUUGAAUUGGGAAAAAUGUCACUUUAUGGUACACGAUGGCAUUGUGUUAGGACACAGAAUCUCAGCAAAGGGUAUUAAGGUGGACAGAGCAAAGAUUCAGGUGAUCGAGAAAUUACCGCCACCAACAUGAGUGAAAGGUGUUCGUAGCUUCCUUAGGCGUGCCGGGUUCUACGGAAGGUUCAUUAAGGAUUUCUCAAAAAUUACUAAACCACUUUGCUGUUUGUUGAUGAAGGAAUUCACAUUUGAGUUCACAGAUGAGUGUUUGAUGGCUUUUAAUACCUUGAAAGAGAUCAUCAUACCAGAUUGGAACCUGCCAUUUGAAUUAAUGUGCGACGCCUGUGAUUUUGCUGUUGGGGCCGUAUUGGGACAACAGAGAAAUAAGACAUUUCACGUAAUCUACUAUGCAAGUAAGACCUUGAACGACGCUUAAUUAAACUAUGCCACUACAGAGAAAGAGCUCAUUGCUGUACUCUAUGCCUUUAACAAAUUUCCAUCAUAUCUUGUGGGGUCAAAGGUCAUCGUUUACACAGAUCACGCUGCUAUCAAAUACUUAAUGGAAAACAAGGAUGCUAAGCCAUAUCUCAUUCGUUGGAUACUGCUGCUUCAAGAGUUUGAUCUGGAAAUCAGGGAUAAGAAGGGCGGUGAAAACGUGGUAGUAGACCACUUGUCUCGACUCGAGACCAUAGAGCAGACAGAGAUCGUGGAAAUUAAUGAAGUCUCCCCAGAUGAACAGAUUUUCGAUGUGGGGGAGGCACCCUGGUAUGCUGACAUAGUUAACUACUUAGCCAGGUCUAUCAUUCUGCCAGAUUACUCAAAUCACCCAAAGAAGACAUUUUUCACUGAGUUGAAGUAUUAUUUUUGGGAGAAUCCCAUUCUAUACAAGCGAAAAGCUGAUCAAAUCAUUCGUCGUUGCAUACCUGAGGAAGAAUUGUCCUUAAUACUAGAACAUUGUCAUUCAUCUAUAUACGCAGGGCAUUUUGGUGCUUCAAAAAUAGCAGUAAAGAUCCUUUAGUCAGGUUUUUACUGGCCUACGUAGUUUAAGGAUGCCUUUAAAUUCGUGAAAAGAUGUGACUGAUGUCAACACAGCGGUAAUAUAUCCAGGAGAAACGAAACGCCUUUGAACAGUAUCCCGGUGGUGGAACUAUUCGACGUCUGGGGGAUCGACUUUAUGGGGCCAUUUUCCCUAUCAUUCUCUAAUCAGUAUAUAUUGGUGGCUAUGGAUUACGUAUCAAAGUGGGUAGAAGCCGUUGCAUUGCCU
rnacentral:lncRNA from 1 species